GACGAACGCUGGCGGCGUGCUUAACACAUGCAAGUCGAACGGAAAGGCCCUGCUUUUGUGGGGUGCUCGAGUGGCGAACGGGUGAGUAACACGUGAGUAACCUGCCCUUGACUUUGGGAUAACUUAAGGAAACUGGGGCUAAUACCGUAUAGGAUCUCCUGCUGCAUGGUGGGGGUUGGAAAGUUUCGCCGGUCGGGGAUGGAUUCGCGGCUUAUCAGCUUGUUGGUGGGGUAGUGGUAUACCAAGGGUUCGACGGAUAGGCGACAUGGGAGGGUGACCGGCGACCAUAGGACUAAGAGAAGGCCCAGACUGCAAUGGGAGGCAGCGGGGGCAAAUAUUGCACAGUGGGAGCGAGCCUGAUACAGAAACGCCGGGUGUGGGAUGACGGCCUUCGGGUUGUAAACCGCUUUAGCCUGUGACGAAGCGUGAGUGACGGUAAUGAGUAAAGAAGCACCGGCUAACUACGUG
rnacentral:rRNA from 1 species